CCUACGGGUGGCAGCAGUGAGGAAUAUUGGUCAAUGGACGAGAGUCUGAACCAGCCAAGUAGCGUGAAGGAUGACUGCCCUAUGGGUUGUAAACUUCUUUUAUAUGGGAAUAAAAUGUUCCACGUGUGGGAUUUUGUAUGUACCAUAUGAAUAAGGAUCGGCUAACACGGUGCCAGCAGCCGCGGUAAUACGGAGGAUCCGAGCGUUAUCAGGAUUUAUUGGGUUAAAAGGGAGCGUAGGUGGAUUGUUAAGUCAGCUGUGAAAGUGUGGGGCUCAACCGUAAAAUUGCAGUUGAAACUGGCAGGCUUGAGUACAGUAGAGGUGGGCGGAAUUCGUGGUGUAGCGGUGAAAUGCUUAGAUAUCACGAAGAACUCCGAUUGCGAAGGCAGCUCACUGGACUGCAACUGACACUGAGGCUCGAAAGUGUGGGUAUCAAACAGGAUUAGAUACCCCAGUAGUC
rnacentral:rRNA from 1 species